GACGAACGCUGGCGGCGUGCCUAAUACAUGCAAGUAGAACGCACAGUUUAUACCGUAGCUUGCUACACCAUAGACUGUGAGUUGCGAACGGGUGAGUAACGCGUAGGUAACCUGCCUGGUAGCGGGGGAUAACUAUUGGAAACGAUAGCUAAUACCGCAUAAUAUUAAUUAUUGCAUGAUAAUUAAUUGAAAGGUGCAAUUGCACCACUACCAGAUGGACCUGCGUUGUAUUAGCUAGUAGGUGAGGUAACGGCUCACCUAGGCGACGAUACAUAGCCGACCGGAGAGGGUGAUCGGCCACCCUGGGACUGAGACACGGCCCAGACUCCUACGGGAGGCAGCAGGAGGGAAUCUUCGGCAAUGGACGAAAGUCUGACCGAGAAACGCCGCGGGAGUGAAGAAGGUUUUCGGAUCGUAAAGCUCUGUUGUAAGAGAAGAACGGGUGUGAGAGUGGAAAGUUCACACUGUGACGGUAUCUUACCAGAAAGAGACGGCUAACUACGUG
rnacentral:rRNA from 1 species